rnacentral:rRNA from 1 species
UACGUAGGGUGCAAGCGUUGUCCGGAAUUAUUGGGCGUAAAGAGCUCGUAGGCGGUUUGUCGCGUCUGCUGUGAAAACUCGGGGCUUAACCCCGGGCCUGCAGUGGGUACGGGCAGACUAGAGUACGGUAGAGAGGGGUGGAAUUCCUGGUGUAGCAGUGAAAUGCGUAGAUAUCAGGAGGAACAUCGAUGGCGAAGGCAGCCCCUUGGACCUGUACUGACGCUCAUGCACGAAAGCGUGGGGAGCAAACAGG